GAAAAGUUUAAUUUUGUCACUGAAUUUGAUGAAGGAAAGUCUAUUUUUCUAACCGUGCUGCCUGCAGAAAGGACUUUUGUCAACCUCGAAGCAAGUUCAACGAUUGGUAAGACUUUCGUGGUGUUGGUAAGUAAGUAAGGAAAAUCUUUGUUUGUGGAGGAUCGAUGGGAGAAAAAAGGGAAAUUAGAUCAUUGCAACCAACUUAUCUCAUUACUUCGAGUUAAACAUCUCGUUUCUGACUUUGUCGUUUAAUUUCCUGUUUAACCCUUUAUCUCAAAGGCCUCAUCCGACGACAAAAAUGUUCACUGGGUCGGCCGUUCUGCGUAACAAACCCUCUAAUUAUAAUAUUUUGGUUAA